AGUGAGUGCACGUCUUCAGAGAUCAAAGGCCAGCUCGGCCUCAAUGGAAGGAAGAUGAAGCUGCAGAGAAGCAAGGGAGUCUACCGGACAGUGUCAGCCUGGGCUAGAAAGAGAGCGGUCAGGUCGGCCAGGGGGGCCAGAGCGGCGUCCAGUGCAUCCAGCAUCCCGGGGCUGCCUCGAGCCAGCGCGUGAUUGAGCUGUAGUGAGCGCAGCGCAGGCAGCCCGCGAAAGGCGCGGUAGCCCAGGGCGCGUAGCGGGUUGUGGCUUAGGUCGAGUGCCGCCAGGCUGGGCAACCCGUCGAAGGCACCGUCCUCUACUACCUCGAUGUUGUUGUGUGUGAGGCGCAGCGCGGUAGGGCCGCUGCGCUCUCUUGCUCCCCUGCUCUCUAGUUCACGAGCUGCUGAGAAGUUUGGCUCCCCAAGCUCUGACUUGCUUCUUUCCCCACCCCCUUCGUUUAGGCAGCUUCUUUCCUCCUCCCUCCGAAGCACACGUGGGGCGGGGCCCUCAGGGCUGACCUGGCAGGUGGAUCUGUGCACCCAGAGAAGGAUUGAGAAGCUCAAGACCUGAUUUAAAGAGACAGACUCCAGAGGAGGGAGCAUUCCUGGUCUUGGCAUGAAUUAUUCAGGUUGGAGAAGCUGACAUUUGAUCUGCAGGCCAUUCGAGUAUCUUACUUGGCAGAGCUGGUUGGGAUAGAGGCUCCCCUCCUCCCCAUAAGCAUCAGUCAGUCUCUUUCUCCUGAACUGAAGACUACUGGUUGGUUUCUUCCCUGAAGUUGCAUUUAGAAGAUCGACCAGCAAAUUGAAACCACUUUCUGAGGCAUAUCCUGCAUUCCCUGGGUCUCAGGCAAAUACCAACACUAAGGACCAGGCUGGUGAUCUUGCUGGACUCCCUCAGCUCAUAUUGACCUAGUCCUGUCUCCAUGAUAACCUCCAGAUGCUAGCAGAUGACAGUAGUAGCUUUUAGAGCUGGACAUGUCUGUAUACAUGGCCACCUGAGUUUACACACGUGUGCCUCUACACAAAAAGGC
rnacentral:lncRNA from 1 species